ACUAUUUUGGCAGAUUAAUGUUAUAAAUUUAGAAUUUAUUUAUGUAAAAUUAUUUUACAAGUAGUA
rnacentral:tRNA from 1 species